rnacentral:rRNA from 1 species
AACGAACGCUGGCGGCAUGCCUAACACAUGCAAGUCGAACGAGACCUUCGGGUCUAGUGGCGCACGGGUGCGUAACGCGUGGGAACCUGCCCUUAGGUUCGGAAUAACUCCCCGAAAGGGGUGCUAAUACCGGAUAAUGUCUUCGGACCAAAGAUUUAUCGCCUUUGGAUGGGCCCGCGUUGGAUUAGCUAGUUGGUAGGGUAAAAGCCUACCAAGGCGACGAUCCAUAGCUGGUCUGAGAGGAUGAUCAGCCACACUGGGACUGAGACACGGCCCAGACUCCUACGGGAGGCAGCAGUGGGGAAUAUUGGACAAUGGGCGAAAGCCUGAUCCAGCAAUGCCGGGUGAGUGAUGAAGGCCUUAGGGUUGUAAAGCUCUUUUACCCGGGAUGAUAAUGACAGUACCGGGAGAAUAAGCUCCGGCUAACUCCGUG